GUGGCCGGAGGGCGGCGACCCGCCCCGAGGACAGUGGCAGGUGGUGAGUUUGACUGGGGCGGUACACCUGUCAAACGGUAACGCAGGUGUCCUAAGGCUAGCUCAGGGAGGACAGAAACCUCCCGUGGAGCAGAAGGGCAAAAGCUCGCUUGAUCUUGAUUUU